rnacentral:rRNA from 1 species
AUGUAGAUUCUUACAACAUAUCAUUAAUGCACCAGAUCCCAUUAGAACUAUGGAGUUAAGUGUGCUCGGACUAGAGUAGUACUAGGAUGGGUGACUACUCGAGAAGUCUUGGUAUUUUACAUU